AGGGAGUACCUGUAGAUUUCAGAGCCCCUGAGACAAGCCCGUCAGAGGUGGUGUGUGCUGUUGACCAGCCUGGACUGCAGGUUCGAGGACCAGAAGGUGACUCUCGAGGUCUGCUGUGGGUUCUGGAUGAAGAGAUGGUCACUCCCGGCUCCACCGAGAGCACAGUUCUGGAAAGAGUGUGUCAGUACUUCAGCGGCACAGUGCGCCAGUGCGAGCAGCCUCUGCAGUGUGAGAUCGCUCACCUGAUGGGUUCAGAUCCAGUCCGCUAUGAUCUCUCAGGCUGGUUCGGUCAGGUCCAGAA